GGGGCUGGAUAGCUCAGCUGGUUAGAGCAUGGUGCUGAGAAUGCCAGGCUUGCAAGUUCGAUUCCCAUACAGGACAGCUCCA